rnacentral:rRNA from 1 species
GACGAACGCUGGCGGCGUGCUUAACACAUGCAAGUCGAACGGAAAGGCCCUGCUUUUGUGGGGUGCUCGAGUGGCGAACGGGUGAGUAACACGUGAGUAACCUGCCCUUGACUUUGGGAUAACUUCAGGAAACUGGGGCUAAUACCGGAUAGGAGCUCCUGCUGCAUGGUGGGGGUUGGAAAGUUUCGGCGGUUGGGGAUGGACUCGCGGCUUAUCAGCUUGUUGGUGGGGUAGUGGCUUACCAAGGCUUUGACGGGUAGCCGGCCUGAGAGGGUGACCGGCCCCAUUGGGACUGAGAUACGGCCCAGACUCCUACGGGAGGCAGCAGUGGGGAAUAUUGCACAAUGGGCGGAAGCCUGAUGCAGCAACGCCGCGUGCGGGAUGACGGCCUUCGGGUUGUAAAACGCUUUCGCCUGUGACGAAGCGUGAGUGACGGUAAUGGGUAAAGAAGCACCGGCUAACUACGUG